rnacentral:rRNA from 1 species
GACGUAGGGCGCGAGCGUUGUCCGGAAUUAUUGGGCGUAAAGAGCUCGUAGGCGGCUUGUUGCGUCGACUGUGAAAUCCCGCGGCUCAACCGUGUGGCUUGCAGUCGAUACGGGCAGGCUAGAGUUCGGUAGGGGAGACUGGAAUUCCUGGUGUAGCGGUGAAAUGCGCAGAUAUCAGGAGGAACCCCGGUGGCGAAGGCGGGUCUCUGGGCCGAUACUGACGCUGAGGAGCGAAAGCGUGGGGAGCGAACAGG